UGGCGACCGGCAAACGGGUGCGGAACACGUACGCAACCUCCCUCUAACUGGAAGAUAGCCCAUCGAAAGGUGGAUUAAUACUCCAUAUUAUAUUGAAGUGGCAUCACUUUAAUAUUAAAGCUCCGGCGGUAAGAGAUGGGCGUGCGUCUGAUUAGGUAGUUGGCGGGGUAACGGCCCACCAAGCCUACGAUCAGUAGCUGAUGUGAGAGCAUGAUCAGCCACACGGGCACUGAGACACGGGCCCGACUCCUACGGGAGGCAGCAGUAAGGAAUAUUGGUCAAUGGACGCAAGUCUGAACCAGCCAUGCCGCGUGGAGGAUGACGGUCCUCUGGAUUGUAAACUUCUUUUCUCUGGGACGAAACCCUCGAUUUCCAUCGAGCCUGACGGUACCAGAGGAAUAAGCACCGGCUAACUCCGUGCCAGCAGCCGCGGUAAUACGGAGGGUGCAAGCGUUAUCCGGAUUCACUGGGUUUAAAGGGUGCGUAGGUGGGCAGGUAAGUCAGUGGUGAAAUCUCUGGGCUUAACCCGGAAACUGCCAUUGAUACUAUUUGUCUUGAAUUCUCUGGAGGUAAGCGGAAUAUGUCAUGUAGCGGUGAAAUGCUUAGAUAUGACAUAGAACACCCAUUGCGAAGGCAGCUUACUACGGAGAUAUUGACACUGAGGCACGAAAGCGUGGGGAUCAAACAGGAUUAGAUACCCUGGUAGUCCACGCCCUAAACGAUGAUUACUCGACAUUAGCGA
rnacentral:rRNA from 1 species